rnacentral:lncRNA from 1 species
UGAAAGUGUCCUCCAGGUACACAAAGUACCCUCUCAAUAUCCUCAUAAUAUGAAAACUCCCCUAUGUUCAAUGCAUAUUGGCACUGCUCACCAGCCCACUCAGUGUCCAAGAAGCUGUUAAUAGUCUCGGGGUCAUUUAUGAUAAUCUCCCCUCACACAUAACUAGUGUACCUCUCCAUGCUCACUCCUUUGGAUAAGGCAUUAAUGUAAAAUUCCUUCACAACCUCAAUGUUAGCCGGCGCAGGAUAUGUAGCU